rnacentral:rRNA from 1 species
UCGAGCGGUANCAGAAAGUAAGCUUGCUUANUUUGCUGACGAGCGGCGGACGGGUGAGUAAUGCCUAGGGAUCUGCCCAGUCGAGGGGGAUAACAGUUGGAAACGACUGCUAAUACCGCAUACGCCCUACGGGGGAAAGGAGGGGACCUUCGGGCCUUUCGCGAUUGGAUGAACCUAGGUGGGAUUAGCUAGUUGGUGAGGUAAUGGCUCACCAAGGCGACGAUCCCUAGCUGUUCUGAGAGGAUGAUCAGCCACACUGGGACUGAGACACGGCCCAGACUCCUACGGGAGGCAGCAGUGGGGAAUAUUGCACAAUGGGGGAAACCCUGAUGCAGCCAUGCCGCGUGUGUGAAGAAGGCCUUCGGGUUGUAAAGCACUUUCAGUAAGGAGGAAAGGUUAACGAUUAAUACUCGUUAGCUGUGACGUUACUUACAGAAGAAGGACCGGCUAACUCCGUGCCAGCAGCCGCGGUAAUACGGAGGGUCCGAGCGUUAAUCGGAAUUACUGGGCGUAAAGCGUGCGCAGGCGGUUUGUUAAGCCAGAUGUGAAAUCCCCGGGCUCAACCUGGGAAUUGCAUUUGGAACUGGCGAACUAGAGUCUUGUAGAGGGGGGGUAGAAUUCCAGGUGUAGCGGUGAAAUGCGUAGAGAUCUGGAGGAANACCGGUGGCGAANGGNGGCCCCCUGGACAAAGACUGACGCUCAUGCACGNNGCGUGGGGAGCAAACAGNAUUANAUACCC